CGGAGGGAUCAUUACCGAGUUUACAACUCCCAAACCCAUGUGAACAUACCUACUGUUGCUUCGGCGGGAUUGCCCCGGGCGCCUCGUGUGCCCCGGAUCAGGCGCCCGCCUAGGAAACUUAAUUCUUGUUUUAUUUUGGAAUCUUCUGAGUAGUUUUUACAAAUAAAUAAAAACUUUCAACAACGGAUCUCUUGGUUCUGGCAUCGAUGAAGAACGCAGCGAAAUGCGAUAAGUAAUGUGAAUUGCAGAAUUCAGUGAAUCAUCGAAUCUUUGAACGCACAUUGCGCCCGCCAGUAUUCUGGCGGGCAUGCCUGUCUGAGCGUCAUUUCAACCCUCAUGCCCCUAGGGCGUGGUGUUGGGGAUCGGCCAAAGCCCGCGAGGGACGGCCGGCCCCUAAAUCUAGUGGCGGACCCGUCGUGGCCUCCUCUGCGAAGUAGUGAUAUUCCGCAUCGGAGAGCGACGAGCCCCUGCCGUUAAACCCCCAACUUUCCAAGGUUGACCUCAGAUCAGGUAGGAAUACCCGCUGAACUUAA
rnacentral:rRNA from 1 species